CAGCCGCCGCGGUAAUACGGAGGGGGCUAGCGUUGUUCGGAAUUACUGGGCGUAAAGCGCACGUAGGCGGCUUGGUAAGUUAGAGGUGAAAGCCUGGAGCUCAACUCCAGAAUUGCCUUUAAGACUGCCGAGCUAGCAGGUGAGAGAGGUAAGUGGAAUUCCGAGUGUAGAGGUGAAAUUCGUAGAUAUUCGGAAGAACACCAGUGGCGAAGGCGGCUUACUGGCUCAUACUGGACGCUGAGGUGCGAAAGCGUGGGGAGCAAACAGGAUUAGAUACCCCUGUAGUCCCUGUCUCUUAUAC
rnacentral:rRNA from 1 species